GAUGAACGCUAGCGGCAGGCCUAACACAUGCAAGUCGAGGGGUAACUAGAGUGAUAGCAAUAUUACUUUGGCUAGACCGGCGCACGGGUGCGUAACACGUAUGCAACCUACCUUAUACUGGGGAAUAACUUCGAGAAAUCGGCGCUAAUACCCCAUAACAUUGCGAAGAGGCAUCUCUUUGCAAUUAAAGCUCCGGCGGUAUAAGGUGGGCAUGCGUCCAAUUAGCUAGUUGGUGAGGUAACGGCUCACCAAGGCUACGAUUGGUAGGGGUUCUGGGAGGAUGAUCCCCCACACUGGUACUGAGACACGGACCAGACUCCUACGGGAGGCAGCAGUGAGGAAUAUUGCGCAAUGGACGAAAGUCUGACGCAGCCAUGCCGCGUGCAGGAUGACGGCCCUAUGGGUUGUGAACUGCUUUUGUACGGGAAUAAACCCUUCUACGUGUAGGAGGCUGAAGGUACCGUAAGAAUAAGCACCGGCUAACUCCGUGCCAGCAGCCGCGGUAAAAC
rnacentral:rRNA from 1 species